CAUGGUCGGACAUCAUGCGGUUAGUGCAAAGGCAUAAGCCAGCUUGACUGCGAGAGUGACGGCUCGAGCAGGUACGAAAGUAGGUCUUAGUGAUCCGGUGGUUCUGAAUGGAAGGGCCAUCGCUCAACGGAUAAAAGGUACUCCGGGGAUAACAGGCUGAUACCGCCCAAGAGUUCAUAUCGACGGCGGUGUUUGGCACCUCGAUGUCGGCUCAUCACAUCCUGGGGCUGAAGUAGGUCCCAAGGGUACGGCUGUUCGCCGUUUAAAGUGGUACGCGAGCUGGGUUUAGAACGUCGUGAGACAGUUCGGUCCCUAUCUGCCGUGGGCGUUGGAAGAUUGAAAGGGGCUGCUCCUAGUACGAGAGGACCGGAGUGGACGCACCACUGGUGUUCGGGUUGUCAUGCCAAUGGCAUUGCCCGGUAGCUAAGUGCGGAAGAGAUAACCGCUGAAAGCAUCUAAGCGGGAAACUUGCCUUGAGAUGAGUCUUCCCUGACYCUUUAAGRGUCCUAAAGGAACGUUUAAGACUAAGACGUUGAUAGGUUGGGUGUGUAAGCGUAGCGAUACGUUGAGCUAACCAAUACUAAUGAACCGUGAGGCUUAACCUG
rnacentral:rRNA from 1 species